GAUUAACGCUGGCGGCGUGCAUAACACAUGCAAGUCGAACGAUGAAACUUUAAUGAACCCUUCGGGGAGAAUUAAAGCGGAUUAGUGGCGAACGGGUGAGUAACGCGUGAGUAACCUGCCUUACACAAGGGGAUAGCCUUUGGAAACGAAGAAUAAUACCCUAUAAAACCAUAAAAGCACAUGCAAUUAUGGUCAAAGUGAUAGCGGUGUAAGAUGGACUUGCGUCUGAUUAGCUAGUUGGUGAGAUAAAGGCCCACCAAGGCAACGAUCAGUAGCCGGCUUGAGAGAGUGUACGGCCACAUUGGGACUGAGACACGGCCCAGACUCCUACGGGAGGCAGCAGUGGGGAAUUUUGCACAAUGGGGGAAACCCUGAUGCAGCGACGCCGCGUGAUUUAGAAGGCCUUCGGGUUGUAAAAAUCUUUUGUAUAGGAAGAAAAUGACAGUACUAUACGAAUAAGGUCCGGCUAAUUACGUG
rnacentral:rRNA from 1 species